AUAGCAGAGCCAAGUUUAAAGGGAGAACUUCAAGCUUUUCACAAAAUAUUCAAAUACAAGACCACAGAAGAAGGGUCUAUGUUUGAGGGAGGAGCAUCGGCGAACUUCCUGUCCUGCUCUGCUGAUGUCACUUUAGGAGUUUGACACCAACUGACAGAGACCAGAGGUGUUCAGUUCUCUCUGGCUCUUGCUGUCCUGUGGGAAAGAAGUGAAAGAAUGAUCGCUUGGCAUGCAUCACUAGAGAGAAUCGGUGUAAAGAAGAAAAUGAGUGUGCCUGCCACCUACUCUCCCCUCUCUUGUGGGAAAGUUGGAGGAGGGAGCCAGAGAAGGGAAGUGAAAAUGCCCAGACUUUUAAGUGUUCCACAAGGCGUGAGAACAAGCACGGGAUGGCUCGGAGAGACAGAGAAUACACAUAUGCCUUUAAGAGAGCAGCAGAGGGAAUUUUGACACAGAAGUACACAGAAGAGAAGGUUCUGUGAAGACAGUAGCAGAGAUCGGAGAGAUACAGCCAGAAGCCCAGGAAUGCCAGGGGAGCCACUCUUCCAGAAGCUGAGAGAGGCAAAGAAGGAUCCUCCUGGGGGAGGCUUUGGAGGCAAUAUGGCCCUGCUGACAUCUUGACUUCAGACUCCUGGCCUCCAGAACUGU